AUAGAGGGUUACUACUACCACAGAAGCUCUGAAUGGUAUCAGUCUUUGAACCUCACACACGUCCCUGAACACAGCGCACCCAUCUACGAGUUCCGGUGACACUGAAGUCCUCCAGGUGAAUCUACAGAGGAAAUGGACAUGAGAGAACGAGAGGAACUGUCUAAUGAUUACGCCCAGGACUCGGCUGUCCUCUCCCCUCAGUGAAAGAAUAACCAGAGGUACAGAUGAUGGAGGAAGGAACUCUUUCAGGAGACUCUCUGCACAAGCCGAUCAAGCGAGUGGGAUUCGGGGAUUCGCAGCAGUGUUAGCUGCUAGAGUUUUUAACGCCUCUGUCCUCCGAUCAUCUUAGAAAACUAUUUUUAUCCUUAAGGUUUGGGGAUUAAAAUCACAGUUUUUCUUUGCCCUGGAUGGAAGAGCCAAUGGUGAUAUUUUUCUCUUCUUUUUUUUUCGCCUUGUAAUUUGAUAAAAGAGCAUGGCCAAUCUUUGUUUUAAUUUAUUUUGAAUCAUUCUGUAUGAAAAGACUGUGAGCGGGAUGCUGUAUACAGACACUGGGACGUCUUUUGAAGACGUAUCAAAGAUACAGUAUGCGAUAUGAUGGAUACGGAGAGUUGCUAUUGUCUGCGGCUUGCUCGGCUCUCAGACGUUGUUUUUUUAUUAACGUAAGGUGUAUCAUCAAAAGUCACAUAUAUAGCAGCUGGGUCCUUCGCUUCUACGUGUGAUAUAUUUUUUAUUAUGAGAUGAAAUAGAGUCAGGUGUUUUGGAAAGAGGUAUAUAUAUUAUCCCAUGGUGGUAAAGCUAUUUGUAAAGCCGCUUUGGAUGAAACAUUUCUUUCUGAGUUUGGAA